rnacentral:rRNA from 1 species
AAAAAAAUCUUAAUAAAUAAUUUAAUAAAUUAAAAAGUUAUCUAUUAAAUUUAUAAAUAAUAAAAGUAUUUUUUAUAAUUGUUUUAGUAAUUAAAAAUAAAAUAAUAAAAUUUUUUUUAUAGUUUAAAGUAAAGAAAUUGAAAAGUUGAAAUAAAAUUGAAAAAUUAAUUAAUAAAAAAGAAUAAUUAAUUUUUUGUUCCUUGUGUAUCAGGAUUAAUCAAAUUUUAAAGUUAAAAUUAACAUAUUUAUAAUUUAAAAAAAAUUAAAAAUUUUUGUGUUUUAUUGUGUAAAAAAUAUUAUAAAAAAAUUUUUUAAAAUUAAAAGUUAAUUGUUUUUAAAGUUAUAUAAUUUUUAAAGAAAUAAAUUUAAUUUAGGUUAAUUUUAAUUAUUUUUAUAUUUUUUUUAUAGAAAUAAAAUUGAAUUAAUAUAAUAAUUUAAGGGUUGAGCUUUAAAUUAAAAAAUUAAAAUUAAUUUAAAUAAUAGUUAUUUAAUUAUUAAAUAUAAAAUAAAUAAUCUUAGAAAUAGAAAAUUUUAAUUAAAAUGUUUUAAUUAAUUAUUAUUAGUAAAAUAUUUAAUAAAAAUUUAAUUUUUUAUUUAAAAAAUAAAUUAAAUUAAAAAAUUUAAUUUAUAAUAAUUAAAUUAGUAAAUUUAAAAUUUUUGUAAAUAAAAAUAAUUUAAAAUAAAUUUUGAUAUAAUGAAUUCGACAAAAUUAUUUUUAUUUGUUUAACAAAAACAUUGUUUUUUAAAAUUUUUAAAAAAUAAGGCCUGCACACUGAAUUUAAAUUUAAAGAGCCGCAGUAUUUUGACUGUGCAAAGGUAGCAUAAUCAUUAGUUUUUUAAUUGAAGACUGGAAUGAAAGGUUUAAUAAAAAAUAAGUUUUAUUAUAUUAAUUAAAAUUGAAUUUAUUAUUUUAGUAAAAAAACUAAAAUUUAAAUAAAAGACGAUAAGACCCUAUAAAGCUUUAUAUAAUUUAUAUUAAAAAUUAAUUUAGAAUAAUUAAAUUUUUAGUUUUGUAAUUUAUUUGAUUGGGGUGAUUUAAAGAUUUAAAAAACUCUUUAUUUUAUUUUUUAUUUAUAAAUAAAAUUAAAAAUGAUCUUUAAAAUUUUGGAUUAAAAAAUUAAGUUACUUUAGGGAUAACAGCGUAAUUUUUUUAGAGAGUUCAAAUCGAUAAAAAAGUUUGCGACCUCGAUGUUGGAUUAAGAUAUAAAUUUAGGUGUAGAAGUUUAAAUUUUUAGUCUGUUCGACUAUUUUUCUUACAUGAUCUGAGUUCAAACCGGUUUAAGCCAGGUUGGUUUCUAUCUUUAUAUAAAUAUUAUGUUAUAGUACGAAAGGACCUAACAUAAAAAUAUAAAUUUAUAAAAUUAUAGAAUAAAAUUAAAAAAUAAAAGUUUUUUUUUGAAAAUAAAAGGUUUUAGUUAUUGAAUU